CACAAGGAAAUUUUAAUUAAAAAAUUAUCUGGAAAAUCCCCCAAAUAUUAGGGAAAAAAGCAACAUCUUUCUAAGUAACUCAAGAAGAGAACACAAGGGAAAUUGAGAAAUUGUUUAAACUGAAAGAAAGUGAAAAUACAAUAUAUCAAAAUUUGUGGGGAAAGCAAGUACCAUCAUUAGAGGAGCCUGUAUGGUAUGGACUCCACUGAUACACCUAGUCUCAAGUCCUCUGUUACUCUGGUUGGGUUCAGCCAGUGAGGAGUCCCAGUGAGAAAAAGGAAGGAGGAAAGCAAAGCCAGAAGUGGCCAGUGGAGACCUAAGCCAUCCAUGAUGAAGUUACUCCACCGUUGGAAGAGAGCACCAGGGGAUGUGACCUCUGGUUAACCUGCAAACUGGACCCAGACAGUCAGAGUCUCCUCCCUCCCUCCCCUGUCCUUGGAAUGUACUUUCUGCCCACCGUUCCUGCACUAGGAGCCAUUUCAAGGAUGCAGCCUUGAGAGCGUAGGUGUUCUUGAGACUAUCUGGACCAUGUGUAUGACUAAAAACCUUUUAAGGCCUCUGUAAAAACUCUUAAGACUUUGGUGAGAGGGUGUGGAGAUUUCCUUGUCCUGUACCUGCUCAACUCAAAUCUCAUAUGUAAGUUCUCUUGCUUAUUAAACCAGCCACCCACCCAUCUUUCUUGGGUCCCUCCCUGACCUCUCUGUACGGGGACCAGUCUCAAA